AUUGAACGCUGGCGGCAGGCCUAACACAUGCAAGUCGAGCGGAUGAAGAGAGCUUGCUCUCUGAUUUAGCGGCGGACGGGUGAGUAAUGCCUAGGAAUCUGCCUGGUAGUGGGGGAUAACGUUCCGAAAGGAACGCUAAUACCGCAUACGUCCUACGAGAGAAAGCAGGGGACCUUCGGGCCUUGCGCUAUCAGAUGAGCCUAGGUCGGAUUAGCUAGUUGGUGAGGUAAUGGCUCACCAAGGCUACGAUCCGUAACUGGUCUGAGAGGAUGAUCAGUCACACUGGAACUGAGACACGGUCCAGACUCCUACGGGAGGCAGCAGUGGGGAAUAUUGGACAAUGGGCGAAAGCCUGAUCCAGCCAUGCCGCGUGUGUGAAGAAGGUCUUCGGAUUGUAAAGCACUUUAAGUUGGGAGGAAGGGUUGUAGAUUAAUACUCUGCAAUUUUGACGUUACCGACAGAAUAAGCACCGGCUAACUCUGUGCCAGCCGCCGCUGUAACAC
rnacentral:rRNA from 1 species